ensembl:lncRNA
UCCUCUGCAGGUCUACUCCACCCACGGAGGUCAGACCUGAUCACGUGGUCAGAUCUGAUCACGUGGUCCGGCCGUCACCAGCUCAGUUUCCGUCUCCGCUGUACUCCGUUUACGCUUCUGCAGCACCAGGCUGCACUGUCAGCCCUACAUCACACACCCGUACUUUGCCUGGCUAACUGCUUGAAGACUCAAGGUCACUGAUCCAGGAAGGCACCCCUAAACCUCCUCUCAUCCUCUGUCCCUCUGUGCUCCCCACAUACAGUAGAAUGAUGCUACUGAGCGUAACGGUCAAGCGUCCAGUCUUCUGAGCCUCCUUUGUUUGUGGGUCUUUCACAACACGGAACAGAGCAAAGUUCUAUCCAACUAUGAAUUUCUUUUUGCUAGAGAACAUAGAAAUGGUUGAUAUUUUAUACUGAUGGGAAGUGGUGACUUCAAAAUAUGCCUAUCAAAAUUGUCAUUAUUUUGUGUAGGUCAUUAGUGUACGUAUCUAUGUAGACUGUAUACACUGAAUACAGAACAUCUGCCAAUGAGGAAGAUCAUCUUUAAGGCAUAUUUACGAAUUACAAAUAAGAAUUCUGCAAUUACAAGAAAAUUUUCUAAGCCUCAACUUUAGAAACAAGAAUUCAAAUUUGCAUGCAGGAUCCUAGUUCCCUGGCCAAGGAUUGAACCCGUGCCCCCUGCACUGGAAGCACAAGUCUUAACCACUGGACCUUUGGUGAAGUCCCUAUCGUUACUGAGUUUAACGCAGCCUUGGUUACUGUGAUAAGCUUCUCCUGAAAAUAACAGAAAGAAAUACACAAAUAGGAAGGCAUCCCAUUGCAAAGUCAACAUAUUAUCCAUCUAAGACAGAAACUGCUAUACAGGAGUCACUGGGGAGAUGCCGGAGCAGACAGAAACAAGCCCCGGGCCCCCUGGCAUCGGGCGAGGGGCACUGAGGGGACAGACGUGGCAGCCAAGCUCUGGAAAACACUUGGGAAGCCAUCCCACUGACCAACAUGAGUACUGAGGACUCUGCACUUCCCAUUCUUUCAGCUGACUUAAAGAACUGUCACUUUGGUCAUCAGUCCAAGCUGCAUGUGAAACAUUCAAGAUAAGUUCAUUUUGGAAGGGGGCGGCAGGAGGGACCGUAGAUGUCAAGGUUGAGAGAUGUAAUGUUUUUAGAGCUUAAUGAGAAGCAGUAUCAUUAAAGAAUUCACAUCUGUACAACAUUAAAA